ACAGGCCCAAAAUAAUACAUACGGCGUAAAGCACGACUAAAAAAAAGUUAAAUGUUAGAAAAUGAAACCAAACUGGGCUGUAAAAAGCCAUAAGUUACAAUAACCACAUCUAACACAAACAAAUUCCACUCGUGAAAGUCGGGACACAAACUAAGAUUAGAUACCUUACUAUGCCCAACUGUAACACAACAAUUAAAUUACCAAUUGUUCGCCAAAUAACUACGAGUAAAAACUUAAAAUUUAAAAGACUUGACGGUACCUCACAACAACCUAGAGGAGCCUGUCCAUAACCGAUACCCCGCGAUUAACCUCACCCCCUCUAGCCCAAUUCAGUCUAUAUACCGCCGUCGCCAGCUUACCUUGUGAAAGAAAAAAAGUAAGCUAAACAGUCCACGCACUAAUACGACAGGUCGAGGUGUAACUUAUGAGGGGGACCAAGAUGGGCUACAUUUUCUACUAUAGAAUAAACGAAUAAACCAUGAAAAAGAAACUGAAGGCGGAUUUAGCAGUACACUGGGGAUAAACUACCCAAUAGAAACAAACGCAAUGAGGUGCGUACACACCGCCCGUCAUCCCUGUUGACAAACCAAACACAUCUAUAAACACAAACCAACUAUAAAG
rnacentral:rRNA from 1 species